GGAAGUAAAAGUCGUAACAAAGUUUCCGUAGGUGAACCUCCGGAAGGAUCAUUAAUGAGUUGUCAUGGGGUUCGAUGCUGGCAGCCGAUUUUUGGAUGCAUGUGCUUGCCCUAACAAUCAUCUUCCAAACACCUGUGCACAUUUUUGAGGGAGUCUUGAGUUGGUUGCCGCUCUUGGGUGAUUUUCUCACAUUCCCUUAAAUCAUUAUACGCUAUUAACAAUGUUGAACGUGCUCUGUGCCGCAAGGCUAUUAAUAUAAUACAACUUUUAACAACGGAUCUCUUGGCUCUC
rnacentral:misc_RNA from 1 species